AACUCCUUCCGGGAAAGUGAGUGUCAAAUCUCUGAUGUUUCCUUUGCUUAACAGCAUAAUUAUACAAUUAAUGGCCAACCACACCCGAGUAUGUGAGAGAAAGCUUCUUGCAGUACCAAGUUGUGUGGUGAACCAUUAAUGCAAACUGAGUUUUUAAUGUUGAGGAAAGUUGAUUUCGUAUGAAAUAAAUGCCACAGUGCACCUUCUACAUGUCCUAAAACUUUGGCAUUUCCUCUUGUAUGCAGAUUGUAGUGGGAAAGAGUUGAUGCUAUCACAGAAAAGAGUGCAUGUAACUUGAAAGGCAACCAAACAAGGAAGACUUUACCCGUCCUAUUGGGAACUGAUGCCAAGUUGCUGAAGGAUAUCUUACGUGGUCCAGAAAGAAUGAAAAGUUUGUUUGUGGAGAAAGAAUGUACCGUCUCCUCUUCUGCCGUAAUGACCUCAAAUGAUAAUGUUGACAAUUGAACCGGUCAUAUGGCUGCUAGGAUCGAAUUGCGAGUGUAUUACGGCAUUAGACGUGAGGAAUCUGACUUUCUUCUUUGGCUGCAAUUUCCAAAUACAUAACACUUCGUUUCUUUUAUUGGAAGGUUGUCAUGAAAAUAUAAGAAAAUUGCCCCUAA